UACGAAGGGGGCUAGCGUUGCUCGGAAUCACUGGGCGUAAAGGGUGCGUAGGCGGGUUUUUAAGUCAGGGGUGAAAUCCUGGAGCUCAACUCCAGAACUGCCUUUGAUACUGAAGAUCUUGAGUCCGGGAGAGGUGAGUGGAACUGCGAGUGUAGAGAUGAAAUUCGUAGAUAUUCGCAAGAACACCAGUGGCGAAGGCGGCUCACUGGCCCGGUACUGACGCUGAGGUGCGAAAGCGUGGGGAGCAAACAGG
rnacentral:rRNA from 1 species